UUCAAUGUGUGUGUGUGUAUGUGUGUGUGUGUGUGUGUGUGUGUGUGUGUGUGUGUGUGAGAGAGAGAGAGAGAGAGAGAGAGAGAGAGAGAGAGAGAGAUGAAUUUAUGUCCUUUUAUAUAGGUGGAAUUGGAUAUCGAUUCUGGUGAGAGUCCAGCAUUAAGUAUUACAUUUUUAAAGGUUUGUUACUCUGACUGUUCCUCAUACCCUUGAAAGUUCUAUUUUAUAAAAGGUCAUUAAAUUCCAGCCGAGGUGUUCAUUCACUCUGUAUAGGGCUGGAAGCAGUAACAUGCCUAAGGAAGGUUUGACAGCACCAUACACGUUUAUUUUGAGGUAUGAAGUUCUGUGAUUACUGUAGUAUAUGAUAGAUAAGAUGGGGGAUAUUCCUAGGUUAAAAAAAAAGAUGGUUAUUUUUUUAUUUAAAUAGCUUGUAGGUGGCUGUUGAACUCUAUGCAUUUUGCACUUUACUCCCUGUUUCUAGUACUGUGAGAAAACACCAUGUCCAAAAGCAGCUUGAAGGGAAAAGGGUUUAUUUCGGCUUACACAUCCACAUCCUAGCUCAUCACCAAAGGAAGUCAGAGCAGGAACUCAAACAGGGCAGGAGCCCACAGAGGCAGGAGCUGAUGCAGAGGCCAUGGAGGGUGCUGCUUAUUGGCUUGCUCCUCAUGGCUUGGUCAGCCUGCUUUCUUAUAGAACCCAGGACCACCUGUCCAAGGCUGUGCCACUCAUUGUGAGCUGGUCAAUCCUAUAUUAAUCAUUAAACAAAAAGUGUGCCGCAGGAUUGCCCACAGGCCUGUCUUGUGGGGGCUUUUUCUCAUUUGAGGUUCCUUCUUUCUAAAUGGCUCUAGGCUAUGUGGUGUCAACAUGAAGACUGGCCAGCAUUCUGGCUCGCUGCCCUAGAGAUGAGUCUUAGAACGAAAGGCAAAGCAAGAACUAGAUUCAUAACUAGAAUUACAACAUAGGCAUUAACACUGGACUAUUUCCUUAAGUUUCCCUCUUACGUUUCGUGUCGAGCGAGUCUAGAGGCCGGUGUUGUAUUUGGAAAGGCUCCUGUUUGGAUGCACAGUUAAGAGUUUCUGUGUUUGUGCAUUGUAUGCACACGUAUGCAUAUGUGCGCAUGUGGCGUAGGGUAUGCAUGUAUGUAGCGGUCAGAGGUCAACUGUAGGUGUCUCCCUCUGUCACUUUCGUCUUUAUUUCCAAAACAGGAUCUCUCGGUGAACCUGGGACUCACUGACUGAGCUAGGCUGGCUGGCAUGUGAGCUCUGGGAACCUGCCUAUCCCUGUCCACCCAGCAAGGGGACAAUAUGUCUCACCACAGCUGACCUUUUACACGGUGGCCGGGGUUUUGACUCAAGGAAUGUACUUCCUUGCACAGCAAGCGACUCACGGUGCUGUAGCUUCACUCUCCAUAUUUGGUAGCUUUUUAACUAUGUUUACGCCCCAUGGAUACGAGAGAUUUCUACUGUCUAAGUUCUCUUCUUAAAAUGCUAUGGUGUUGGGGAUGGAGAGAUGGCUCAGAGGUUAAGAGCACUGACUUCUCUUCCAGAGGUCCCUGAGUUCAAAUCCCAGCAACCACAUGGUGGCUCACAACCAUCUGCAGUGGGAUCUAGUACCCUCUUCUGGAGUGUCUGAAGACAGCUAUUACUGUGUAUUUAUAUACAUAAAUAAAUAUGUAUUUUUUUAAAUGCUCUCAUGUUGAAAAGGUAGGAGAAGAACCCAGAAACCAUCAAGACCAUGAGAGGUACAAUGCAUUGCACAAAACUAAAACGCAUCAUACAUGACACUUAAGGUGCUGGCAUUCCCAUGACAUUCCCAUGGACUGUAUCGAAAAAGAUUGUAAGGAGAAACAGAUAGAAACAUUCCUGCCUUGGAGUGAGGUUCUAGACUUUUAGUUGUUCAUAUUUAUCUGCCUUAAAUUUUCUAUUACAUGUAGUGUAUAUAUGAGUGUAGUGUACAUGUGUGUGCAUGUGUGUGUGUGUACAUGCUGUAGCACACGUGUAGAGGUCAGAUGAUAACUCUGAGGAGUCAGUUCCAUCCUUCCACCAUGUGAGUUUUGGAAGUUGAACUCGGGCCAUGUAGGCUUGCCAACAAGUGCCCUUACCUGCUGGGCCAUCUUGCCUGUCAAUCAACAAGUGCCCUUACCUACUAAGUCAUCUUGCCUGUCCUUAGUAACAAUUUUGACACCCAAUUAUUCAGUUAUAACUGCCUUUUGUUCAACCACCCAUAACAACAUGACAAAAAAACCUGAAUAUGAUAUUCAUAAAACAUAAUAAAAAGGCCUUAAUGAUACCCCAAAUUAUUCUGGUAAUAUGAGCAUGAUUUAUAUGUAAGAACUAUCUUGGUAUAGGAAAAUAGAGCUUCAUUUAUAGCACGCCUUUCUCAUAGUCAUUUAUGGUUUCCUGUACUCGGGACUUAGGGACUGGUGUUUUGUUUCUGGUUUAUGGGGAUUCUGUGAGAUCGCUGAACCUUUCCCUUUAAUUCCGUGAGAAGGUUUUCAUUCUGCUAGUGAAAGCAUCACAGCGCAGAGUGGCCUCCCCGUGCCUUCCCAGUGGGUGCUGAAUAUAGCCUCAUGCUUCUCACUUCAGAGCGGGAAACACAAAGGUUUCUUUUCUCAGAUUUCCCAGAUGUGUAUCUGUAAUUUUUAUUCUUUAUGUAAUUCUUUUCUUCUCAGGUUCUUCAGUUCAGAAACUGAAGUGACUUCUCUUUACUAAACCAU
rnacentral:lncRNA from 1 species